rnacentral:ncRNA from 1 species
CAUAAAGGCUUGGUCCCGACCUUAUUAUCAAUUAUUACCCGAAUUACACAUGCAAGUCUCAGCCCCCCAGUGAAAACGCCCUCAACCUCCUCAAAGAGGGGAUGGAGCCGGUAUCAGGCUCAAUAACCUGCCUAAGACACCUAGCCAUGCCACACCCACAAGGGUAGUCAGCAGUGAUUAAUAUUGAAUAUUAACGACAGUUAGAUUCAGUCAAGGUAAUAUAGAGCUGGCCAACCUGGUGCCAGCUGCCGCGGCUACACCAUGAAGCUCGAAUUGAUAACUACCGGCGUAAAGCGUGAUAAGAACCCACCAAACUAGAAUUAAACUUAAACUGGGUUGUGAAAAGCCUGUUUUAAGGAAGCCCUAAAACGAAAGUUAUUCUAGUCAUUUUUCCUACUCACGACAGCUGAGACACAAACUUGGAUUAGAAACCCCACUAUGCUCAGCCGUAAACUUUAAUUUACACUAGAAUCGCCAGGGAACUAUGAGCUAUGCUUAAAACCCAAAGGACUUGACGGCACCUUAUACCCAACUAGAGGAGCCUGUCCUAUAAUCGAUACUCCCCGUUUAACCUCACCCCUUCUAGCCUAUCAGCCUGUAUACUUCCGUCGUCAGUCCACCACGUGAGCGCUAUUCAGUGGGCCCUUCGGCCAACCCGCACAGACGUCAGGUCAAAGUGCAGCAAAUGGAGGGGGAAGAGAUGGGCUACAUUCUCUAAAAUAGAGUACACGAAUGACUGCAUAUGAAACCCAGUCUGAAGGCGGAUUUAGAAGUAAAGAGAAAUCAGAGAGUUCUCUUUAACUCGGCACUGAGGUGUGUACACACCGCCCGUCACCCUCCUCGAAGCCACUAUAACAGUAAUUAACACCUAUUGCAAAAGAGAGGAGGUAAGUCGUAACAUGGUAAGCGUACCGGAAGGUGUGCUUGGAA